rnacentral:sRNA from 1 species
GCUGGGCAUGGUGGCGCAUGCCUGUAAUCCCAGCGACUCGGGAAGCUGAGACAGGAGGAUUGCAAGUUUGAGGCCAGCCUUAGCAACUUAGUGAGGCUCUAAGCAACUUAGCAAGACCCUGUCUCAA